GACGAACGCUGGCGGCGUGCUUAACACAUGCAAGUCGAACGGAAAGGCCCUGCUUUUGUGGGGUGCUCGAGUGGCGAACGGGUGAGUAACACGUGAGUAACCUGCCCUUGACUUUGGGAUAACUUCAGGAAACUGGGGCUAAUACCGGAUAGGAGCUCCUGCUGCAUGGUGGGGGUUGGAAAGUUUCGGCGGUUGGGGAUGGACUCGCGGCUUAUCAGCUUGUUGGUGGGGUAGUGGCUUACCAAGGCUUUGACGGGUAGCCGGCCUGAGAGGGUGACCGGCCACAUUGCGACUGAGAUACGGCCCAGACUCCUACGGGAGGCAGCAGUGGGGAAUAUUGCACAAUGGGCGCAAGCCUGAUGCGGCGACGCCGCGUGCGGGAUAACGGCCUUCGGGUUAUAAACCGCUUUCGCCUGUGACAAGGCGUGAGUGACGGUAAUGGGUAAAGAAGCACCGGCUAACUACGUG
rnacentral:rRNA from 1 species